GAUGAAGAACGCAGCGGAAUGCGAUAAGUAAUGUGAAUUGCAGAAUUCAGUGAAUCAUCGAAUCUUUGAACGCACAUUGCGCCCGCCAGUAUUCUGGCGGGCAUGCCUGUUCGAGCGUCAUUUCAACCAUCAAGCCCUGCUUGCGUUGGGGUCCUGCGGCUGCCCGCAGGCCCUGAAAACCAGUGGCGGGCUCGCUAGUCACACCGAGCGCAGUAAUACAUCUCGCUUUGGGCGUGCGGCGGGUUCUUGCCGUUAAACACCCCCUUUUUACCAAGGUUGACCUCGGAUCAGGUAGGAAUACCCGCUGAACUUAAGCAUAUCAAUAAGCGGAGGA
rnacentral:misc_RNA from 1 species